rnacentral:rRNA from 1 species
GGGAAUCACAACGAUGGAUACUAGCUGUUGGGAGCAUUUCAGUGGCUAAGCGAAAGUGAUAAGUAUCCCACCUGGGGAGUACGGGCGCAAGCCUGAAACUCAAAGGAAUUGACGGGGGCCCGCACAAGCGGUGGAGCAUGUGGUUUAAUUCGAUGAUACGCGAGGAACCUUACCAAGGCUUAAAUGUAGAUUGACCGAUUUGGAAACAGAUUUUUCGCAAGACAAUUUACAAGGUGCUGCAUGGUUGUCGUCAGCUCGUGCCGUGAGGUGUCAGGUUAAGUCCUAUAACGAGCGCAACCCCUGUUGUUAGUUGCCAUCGAGUCAUGUCGGGAACUCUAACGAGACUGCCAGUGCAAACUGUGAGGAAGGUGGGGGAUGACGUA